UUUAAAAGUGUGUGGCACUUCCUCCCUCUCUCCGUCUCUCUCCUGCUUCACCAUGGUCAGACGUGCUUGCUUCCCCUUUGCCUUCUGCUUAAUUCUAAAUUUGUGGACUACAGAACCUCUAAGAAGUUAGCUACAUUAUCCUACAUGAUCCCAAUGAAAUGAUCUCCUCUUCAAUGACUGGGUGAAGAAGCGAAGACAAGCUACUCAGUUUUGCCAUCGCCCAGCCAUUCUUCCUCUCCUCUCUCUUGCCUAUAGAAAUAAAGGCAAUUUGAACAACUUGGAAAAACCCAUAACUUCCCUCUUUUUCUGUGAUACAUGCACAGGGAGCUUGAAUCCAAUUCUCAGUGCCCACACUCCUUAGUAGCUGGCAGGGGUCAACGCCCCCCUCUCUCUGACCUCCAGCAGUGAGGUCUUGGAGCCUCAGCUCUUGCAGCCUGAAUCUCUCCAUCUGCAGUCUAUCUACAUCCCCAACACAGCUGGGCUCUGCUGGGCAGGAUUAUUGCCAGUCAUCUCCAACUCGCCAAACCUUCAGAAGGGCAGCUGGGACACAAGAACUUUCCUGGGAAUUUCCUGGCCGCCAGCUCAGAUACUGUAUCCUUGUUUGCUGAGCUAAAGCUAGUAAAGAUUGGCAAAGAUAAAUUAGCAACAAAUCCAUGAGGAUUGCGUGUCUCAUCCAAUCAUUUGCCCAACACUGAUUCCAAGUAACAUUCAACUUUGUCUCUAACGAGCUAACAGAUGUGGGCAUUACC
rnacentral:lncRNA from 1 species